rnacentral:rRNA from 1 species
UACGUAGGUGGCAAGCGUUGUCCGGAUUUAUUGGGUUUAAAGGGUGCGUAGGUGGUCUAUUAAGUCAGUGCUGAAAUAUCCCAGCUUAACUGGGAGGGUGGCAUUGAUACUGAUGGACUUGAGUAAAGUUGAGGUGGGCGGAAUUGACGGUGUAGCGGUGAAAUGCUUAGAUAUCGUCAAGAACACCUAUUGCGAAGGCAGCUCACUAAGCUUUAACUGACACUGAGGCACGAAAGUGUGGGGAUCAAAACAGG